rnacentral:lncRNA from 10 species
GGAGAAAAGAGAAAUUUGGUUUGAAAUGAAAUUUGAGUCUUGAGAGAGGGCUGAUAUGAAGGAGAAUCAAACAAGCCACAUGGGAGCAUCUGAAGGCCUGGAGAUAAGGGCCUGUUGCAUGGCUGUGAAAAUUUGGCCUUUAAAAUAACUAGGCAUGGGCCAGAAAUCACAGCCGGCGGCUGCGACCACCCAAGGCAGGAGAUCCAGCGGGGGACUAUGGAGCUCAGUGGAGCUGCGGCCUGGGAGAAGCCCACCCAAGAGAACCAUGUAACUAGAAACCAUCACAUUCGGCUUCGUGUGAGGGAGAAGCAGGUGUUUCAUUGCACGCAGUUACUGAGAUCUGGGGUUGUUUGUUAUUGCAGCAAGGACCCACCCUAACACACGAGGUGUUAUAUGCAUUUUACAGAUUGCCAAGAUGGUACAGACAGCAGAAGUGGCAAAACAACACUUAAACUCAAACCUGCCCAACUUCAAAGUCCACGCCCUUCCCUGGGCUUCAGACUGCCGUCUUUGAUGCUAUCUUUCAUUGAGAUGUUGUUUGCAUUAAAUGGGGGAUCUUGCGGCACACGGUGGACCUUGCCCAGCACCCACUCUUCCUAGGGCCAGCCUUACUCUGUGGGGUCAGCCUUUGACCGUCUGGGCCAUGAAGGUGGCUGAUGAGGCCCCUUCGACAGCCAAGUUGGGGCACAAUCUCCUCCGGAUGUUGUUAUUCCUUCACAGUCUCAUCGCAGGCGGGGAGGAAGUCAGAGGGCUGAUUUAGAGGACAGAGAUACAAACAGAGUGAGCAGAGGAUGUUUGGCUGCAGUUGCUCCAGAGUUUCAAGGGAGAAAACACAAGCAUUGCUGAGCGGCCAUUAGGGGCUUGCACGCUCAGCUGGGCACAUGUCCACACCGAGGCAUCACGUGCGGUCUGAGCUGAGCUCUCAUCUCUGGGUUUCAGGACUUUCAGCACAGUCCUGGCCCUUCACGUUUAGUCUGGGUGAUCAGGGAUGUAAACCAGCAAUUGCAAGGUGGUGAAGCACCACCGUGGAAGGGCACCAGCCGGGCCCUGGGGUCACAGAAGUGCCCCAGGAAGUGUGGCCGUUAAGCCUGGUGAGAGGAGAGCGAGCCGGGAGGACGGUGAGAGACAGGCAUGACGGGGCGCUCCCCAUUUCCGGCAUCUCGGCUUGGCAGGACCCCUCCAGGACCUCACUCCUCUGAGACGCACUGCAGACCUCACAGGUGACAGCAGCGUUUUGCUGACUCAGAGGCAACUACCACGAUGACCCUCCAGCCCGUGUCCAGACCUGGGGCAGCGACUUGGACAGGGGGCUGCAGAAGUGGGUCUGUGAGGGGGACCUGACGGGGGGCUGCAGAAGUGGGUCUGUGAGGCGGACCUGGGGGGGCAGCCCUGGGGUGGGCUCACUGGGGUUCACUCCACCUCGAAGACUUCAAUUCCAGCUCUGGCUGGUUUUGUUGGAUUAGGAACACACAGCCAGCCAAAUCUUGGUUACUAGGGUGCCAGAGAUCACGUGGAGAAAUGAAAUAAAGAGAGAACCCCCAAACGGUGGUGCUGCCAUGCAUUGGAGCCUCUCGCCCCAACAGCAUUCUUACUUUAUUUAUUUAUUUCUCAUCCACAUUUUGCUGGAAGAUUUUGCGCAUUCAUAAUGGCAAACAGAAUAUGGCGAUAAGCUUCUGUGUACACUAUCAUCAACAGCUUUCAAUUCCUAAUUAACCUUAUUUUAUCAAUAUUCCCCAUAAUCCCCCAUGCUGUUUCUUG